rnacentral:rRNA from 1 species
GAUCAUGGCUCAGGACGAACGCUGGCGGCGCGCCUAACACAUGCAAGUCGAACGAGCGAGAGAGAGUUUACUUUCUCAAGCGAGUGGCGAACGGGUGAGUAACGCGUGAGGAACCUGCCUCAAAGAGGGGGACAACAGUUGGAAACGACUGCUAAUACCGCAUAAGCCCACGACCCGGCAUCGGGUAGAGGGAAAAGGAGCAAUCCGCUUUUAGAUGGCCUCGCGUCCGAUUAGCUAGUUGGUGAGGUAACGG